rnacentral:rRNA from 1 species
UUCGGGACGCCGGCGAGUGGCGAACGGGUGAGUAACACGUGGAGACCUGCCCUGAGGUGGGGGAUAACAGCUAGAAAUGGCUGCUAAUACCGCAUACGCCUUACGAGGGAAAGAUUUAUUGCCUCAGGAGGGUUCCGCGUCGGAUUAGCUUGUUGGUGGGGUAACGGCCUACCAAGGCGAUGAUCCGUAGCUGGUCUUAGAGGAUGAUCAGCCACACUGGGACUGAGACACGGCCCAGACUCCUACGGGAGGCAGCAGUGGGGAAUAUUGCGCAAUGGAGGCAACUCUGACGCAGCGAUGCCGCGUGGGUGAAUAAGGCCUUAGGGUUGUAAAGCCCUUUCAGUGGGAAAGAUGAUGACGGUACCCACAGAAGAAGCCCCGGCUAACUCCGUGCCAGCAGCCGCGGUAAUACGGAGGGGGCGAGCGUUGUUCGGAAUUAUUGGGCGUAAAGAGCGCGUAGGCGGUUUAUUAAG